rnacentral:lncRNA from 1 species
AGACAAGAAUAAAGUGAAUCACCAGGACUAGCCCACACUCACGGGGGGAAGGAUUUACAAGGACUUGAAAACCAGGAGGUGUGAAUUAUUUGGGUCCAUCUUAGACAUUGUCUACCACAGAAUUGCAGAAAAAAAGAUUUGGCUAAUCUGAAUGAGGUUUUCAGUCCUGAGCACCUGGUUGAAGAGUGGGGAAAUUUACCAAGAUGACAAACCUAUAUAUAGAACAAGGAAGACUUACUCCUGGCAGCUGGUUUGACUAAUUGUCUGAUUGAUACCUGCUUGCACACAAUAAUAUUCACGGUUCAUUAAAAGUGAAAGCAUGACAGCACAUUCUGUUUGUGAGGCUGGGGGAAC